GAGACGACGUGCGUUUAGCCACCAUGGCGGUGAAUCCGCGUGAUAUGGACGGUUUUAUGCCGCUCCUGUCAACGAUGGACAUCAAGAAAAAAUUAAAUGUUGGUAGUUUAUUAUUAAAUUAUUUGGGCGACACCACCAAGAGUAUCGAGUGUCAAGACAUUGGACAGUUCAUCGAUAACAUCAUACCAUGGCUCAGCAACGGGAAUCCCAAGGUUGUCCAGAAUGGUUUGGAAGUCCUUACGUUCCUUGCGGAUCGAAUGGGUCACGACUUCAAGCCUUAUAUCUCCACCGUUAUUCAGCCAGCGAUAGACAGAUUAGGUGACAGCAAAGACGCCACGCGAGGAAAAGCGCAGUUGUUAUUGCUUAAGAUAAUGGAGAAAGGAUGCAUGACUCCUCAGCAACUUUUGGACAGACUGCGACCAGCCUUCAACCACAAGAACGCCAAAUUACGGGAAGAGGCAUUGAUUCUCUUAACGACGACGUUAAACGAACACGGAGCCGACGAGAUGAUGCUGUCCGGAGUAAUUCCAAGCAUCGUAAAACUGUUAUCGGACCCAUCCGAAAAAGUACGAGAAACGGCUUUAAACACGUUGGCGGAUAUCUACAGACACGUCGGGGAAAGAUUACGCGUCGAUUUGCAGAGAAAGCACAACGUACCGCACGCGAAGUUGUUGUUGUUGAUAGAGAAAUUCGAUCAGAUGAAAGCUGCAGGUGAUCUGUUACCCCUGGCAAUGUCCUCGGACGUUGGAAAAGGUGCAGAUGAGACAGAUAGAGCUAUUAAGUCUGCUCCUGUGAAAAGGUCAUGUGCUACUGUAAAAAGAGCACAAUUUGGUCCUGCAAAAGCUCCAUCUUCUGCUUUAGGUAUAACUCAGCCUGGUAAUACACCUUCCACGGUUCCAAGGGCAUCCACCGUCAAAAGAAACGUGUCGGUAAAAUCGACGUCAGGUCAGGCUGGAGCAGUCGACGAGGAAACUUUUCAUACAGCGUUCGAAGAUGUUCCACCUGUAAACUUAUUUUCGGCUAAAGAUUUGGAAGAACAAAUGAAAGCUAUCAAAGACAAUGUUGGCGAUGACAAGAAAGAUUGGAAACAAAGGACAGAAAACAUGAAAAAAUUAAGAGCUAUUGUUAAAGCAGGCGGUACAAACUAUGAGAACUUUCUAGAGCAUUUAAAAAGUAUGCAGAGAGCAUUUGAAGUAGCUUGUACCGACCUUAGAUCGCAAGUUGUAAGAGAAGCGUGUAUUACUUUAGCAUUUCUUAGUCAGGAACUAAAAAACAAAUUCGCUAGUUUCGGAGAGGCAGUUCUACUCACACUGAUGAACCUCAUACAAAAUAGUGCCAAGGUCGUGGCAACAGCUGGAGCUGUAGCUGUGAGGUUUAUUCUUCAAAAUACACAUUGCAGUCGGUUCGUGCCAAUUAUCACAUCAUGUUUAAGUAACAAAAGUAAAGACAUACGUCGAGCAUCGUGCGAGUAUCUGAAUUUAAUUUUACAAACGUGGCCUACUCAAAUAUUGCAGAAGCACGUAACGAUAUUACAGGACACGAUUAAAAAGGGUAUAGCAGACUCGGAUUCGGAAGCAAGAGCCUUUGCUAGAAAGUCAUAUUGGGCAUAUAAAGAUCAUUUUCCAGAACAAGCAGAAGCAUUACUCAACAGUCUUGAUACUGCAUAUAAACGCUCGUUGAUGUCUCUUAGCAACAGUGGUAGUAUUAGCAGUUUAAAUGUAGUCACAAGAUCGGCGAGUGUCAGCCCCAGAACAUCCAGACCAGUAAUGAGCGCCACAGAUCGUGGAACUCCAGGUGUCAGGUCUACUAGCGCGAUAGACCUGCAAGCCGCACAAAGAGCUAAGGCUAGAAUGAUGUACGCGAAUAUGAGCAGACAAAAAGCGUCUCUUCCGCGUCCCAGUAAAUCGCCAGAUACCACCGCUGUUGCUAGCCCAGAAAGAACAGCCAGAACAAGAACAAGAGUGUCCGGAGUGUCGCAAUCUCAGCCUAGCAGUAGAUCAGGAUCACCGUCGUCAAGGUUAAGUUACGCAACGUACAAUCGCGAAGGAGAAUCGUUAAUCGCAAGACCUAGACGGUUAUCUGGGCAUGGAAUCAGAAGUACUGGUAACAGUCGUGAACCCAGCCCGCAAAGAUUCGGAAUGGACAGAAGUUUUGCAAGCAAAAUACGCGGAAGGAGUUUGCACAUGUCUCCAACGGAUAGGCCGCAGUCUAGACCGGUUAUGGCGCAAAAGAUGUUACAACAAUCGCGCGAAGCAGAGUCGGCGUUAGCGGAUGCGCUCACUUUUGAAAGUAUUGAUAACUAUACAAGAACACCAAGAGGAAAGGGUGAUCACAGCGACGACAGUGAAACCAGUAGUAUAUGUUCAGAACGAAGCAUGGACAGCUUUAGACGACCAAACGAUUCGUUCUCAUGGAGUGGAUCUCAACAAAGAUUGUACCGUGAUAUAUGGGAUCAGUCUAUCCCAAAGGAUAUUAAGGAAAUUAUAGAAAAUUGUGCACAUAAACAUUGGGGAGAUAGAAAGGAGGGUUUGGUAGGAUUGCAACAUUUUCUAUCAAAUGGAAAUACGCUUACAGCUACGGAAUUGCGUAAAGUGACGGAUAUUUUUACAAAAAUGUUUAUGGAUUCUCAUACUAAGGUCUUUAGUUUAUUUUUGGAUACAUUGAAUGAAUUGGUAGCUACUCAUAGCGAAGAUCUCGGUGAUUGGCUUUAUGUGCUGUGUGCAAGACUCUUGAAUAAAUUAGGUACUGAUCUGCUCGCAUCGAUACAAGCAAAAAUUCAUAAAACGCUUGAUGUUGUCAGAGAAUGUUUCCCUGGAGAGCAACUUCUACCCGCUGUUAUGAGGUUUUUGACGGAUCCAACGCAAACACCAAAUUCUCGCGUAAAAAUAGCCACGCUUACGUUUAUCACUCAAAUCGCGGAAACAGCAGAACCUUCUGCGUUGACUAAUUCAGCAGGUACAGCGUUGGCAAGGUUACUUGAUUGGUCAAAUGACGUUAAAAGUCAGGAUGUUAGGAGACAUGCUCAAAACGCUGUCAUAUCAUUGUAUAAUUUAAAUCCUCCAAAAGUGACCAUGAUAUUAGCUGAAUUACCAAAGUUUUAUCAAGAAGCGGCAUUGCCACUAGUACAGAAUCAUUUAAGAAAGUCGUCUGGGUCUAGCAAUCCAGCGUCGCCAGGCACGCCGCCUCCCAGAGCACAGAGUUCACCAGCCCGUACGAAGGCUAAAGGUGAUAUCGAUAAUGCGGAUGAAAAUUUAGAAGAAGUUUACAAUACUUCUUACAGAUCGUUAAGGCGCACGACAGCAGAGAUUCAGAAUUAUGGAUUUGAACGUUUAGAAAGAGCAACCACUAGUAAAGAUAGCGGCAUUAGUAAUAUGGCUGACGUAGAAGAGAAAAUGGAAGGGUUAACGUUGUGUAAUUCGGGUCGAUCUUCCUCGGUGUCUUCGCCUACUCAGAGAGGACGAUCUGUUACGAAUAUUACGGUAAAUGGUUCGAGCGAUACAAUCGCAGGUGAUCUUAUUCUUCCUCAAGAAAAUAAUGGUUAUAAAACACAUGGAUCAUCGCCUGAUUCAAUAAAGAGACCAGAAAUUUUAGACAAUAUGAUUAAAACGUUACAGUCAAAAAUGACGCAAACCGAAGAAAAAGUAACAGCUCUGCAAGAGUUUCAAUUAUAUGUUCGAGAAGGAGAUGGCUUAUAUAUCAAACAAAAUUUUAAAAAACUGCUCAAAACAUUAUUAGAUAGUUUGACCAACGAUAGCAAGAAAAUGCAAGUAGAAGUUCUUCAAACGUUAAUCGACAUGCUAAAGUGUCCAGAACUUGUAGACAGUUUUUCUGUUUAUCCUGAACUACUCGUUCUGAAAGUAAUUAACGCGUACAAGUUGGACGAUCAAAAGCAGGAUUCUUCUUCCAGUAGUAGUAACUCGAGGUCUCCAGUUCUUUGGAUGGCAGAAAAGUGCGCCGCAACGAUAGCUAUGGUUCUAAAACCAGAACAAGUAAUUCAUCUGGUAUCGACUAUAAUAACCACGGAACCAUAUCCAUUGAAUAUGGGGGCAAUAAAAAUGCUUCACAAAGUUGUAGAACAUUGGGGUCGCGAUGCUAUAGAACCUCAUUUAUCGAAAGUAAUGCCUGGACUCAUAAAGGCUUACGACGAUACUGAGAGUGCAGUACGUAAAAGUGCCGUUUUCUGCAUGGUAGCGAUACACUUAGCAGUCGGCGAAGAGGUAUUGAAACCGCACCUCAUUUGUUUGUACACCAGCAAACUGAAGCUUCUGAAUAUUUAUAUACAACGCGCGCAACAGACAAACAGUCAGCCAGCGAGUCCACGUAGCAAUAGCAAAAAUUAACUAACAUCAAAUUCCGCGACGCUUAGGAUCGCGAUACUUAAAAGAUUUGCUCGUCUGGGUGCACGGCAUGAACGAAUGCUGGUUAGCUUCCUCAGUAAGUCCAAUCCGUGACGACUAUCAAGCAGUAAAUUAUAAAAGUUGAACGUUUCAAUACUGAGAUAGACUGAUCUGUAUGAUUUCACGACAAGUUGUAUGUAUGUAUGUGUGUGCGUGUGCGUGUGUGUACGGUACGUACGCGCAGUACGUGCUUGCGGUACGUGCGUGCGUGUUGCAGAAUGCGAGAGAGAACGAAAGACAUGAACUCCUGACAGUGAUGUUGCACGGAAACAGGUAGUGUGGAAAGUUACUUAUGCAUAAUAUGUUUUGUUUGCCAAAAAUUUAUACCUGUUACUGAAUAAGAGUUCCACACAUUUUUUAGCGCCGAUUAAUCAAAUUGCUUUAGAUAUAAGACUCUUUCCAUUCGAGGUUCGUGUAUUUUUUAUCGAUACGUUACAGUGUAAUGUUAAGUUGCAACAGUGUAUCUUGUGAAAAAAAAAGUUAAGAAAAAAAGAAAAAGGAAAUAUUUCAUUCUUCCGUUUAUCAUAUAAAGCUCGCGAAAACCAGUGUCGUGCCUCUCUUGUCCGUUUUGUGAUUUUAUAUAUUUUCAAUUUUGUUCGCUACUCGUUAAGAUAUAUAUUGUACAUAUUUAGGUAUUUCAGUGUAUUGUUACGAAUCUGUUAGUUGAUCACAAUGCUUCUCUAAAGGAAUGUGAUUCUCAAUAAAUAAAUAGUUAAUACACUUGGCGAAAGUUCGAGAAGAUGGGUGCGACAUCACUGCCGAGAGAAUCAUACCUUAUAAGCAUAAAUAAUGUACGUAAUGCCGAUCGUAUAUCGGCGUCAAACAGAGAAACAUUGUACGAAGUACGUUAUACGCUUGUUCAUCGAUUCGUAAACAUUGAUGAUAGCGUUGCACGUGGCAGUAGGUUGCUAUGCACAUUACAGUGAAUAAGUAAACGAAAGAAGUUCUAAUAGAGAGAUAUCCGAUGUGACGACGAGCGGUAUGCCUAGUAUAUCUGCUCUGUACUACGAUCAGUGAGAAUGAUAAUAAAUUUCACGGAGAAAUACUUUCUUUCGCAUUUCAGCAUUAAUCGAGAGACUGGCGCGAGUAUCGCGUAUUUGUUCGCAGCGUGUUGUACCAUAAACGUGAUUACCACGAGGACUUUUACAUGCACGUAGACAGAAAUCGAGAACGAAACUGUUAAUUUAUUUGUUCAAAAUCCAUGUGCUAGUCAGAUUUCCAAGGACGCACAAUAUAAACCGGAAGUUGCAGACGCAAUGGUCGGCACUUUUCAGACAACACAGGAGUUAAUUACUUGGAGAAAAGAAGGGAAGAAAGAGGGAGAGAGUCUGCGAGAGAAUGCGAGAGAGCGAAUGAGGAGAGAUUUAAUACGACAAAAAUCAGCAGAAGUUAGACUAGAAAUGAGAUUAACUUGGAACUAAUGUUAAUAUUUAAACUAUUCGUCACGUUGCCAAUAAUUAAACGAACGCUAAAUCAAAGCUAAGUAAAUCGAGAUAGCAAGAUAAUUUCACGAUGAAAUUGAAAAUGAAUCGUCAAAGUGUUACAAGAAGUUAACAUCACCGUACUAUUCUAU
rnacentral:misc_RNA from 1 species